rnacentral:rRNA from 1 species
GCACCUCGAUGUCGGCUCAUCGCAUCCUGGGGCUGGAGCAGGUCCCAAGGGUUUGGCUGUUCGCCAAUUAAAGCGGUACGCGAGCUGGGUUUAGAACGUCGUGAGACAGUUCGGUCCCUAUCCUCUGUGGGCGCAGGAGAAUUGAGGGAGUUCGUCCCUAGUACGAGAGGACCGGGACGAGUAAACCUCUGGUGUGUCAGUUGUCCCGCCAGGGGCAUUGCUGAUUAGCCAAGUUUAUAAGGGAUAAGUGCUGAAAGCAUAUAAGCACGAAGCCCGUCCCAAGAAGAGUUCUCCCAUCCCUCGUGGAGUAAGACCCCAUGUAGAUAACAUGGUUGAUAGGUUAGAGGUGUAAGCACAGCAAUGUGUUUAGCCGACUAAUACUAAUUGGUCGAGGACUUAAUUA